CAUGUCCUUUUGAUUAUAAUUUAAGGUCUAAUCUGCCCACUGAAAUUUAAAUGGCCGCAGUAAUUUGACUGUGCUAAGGUAGCAUAAUCAUUAGUUUUUUAAUUGAAAGCUGGAAUGAAUGAUUGGAUGAAAUAAAAACUGUCUCAAAUUUAUUAAAAUAGAAUUUUAUAUUUAAGUUAAAAAGCUUAAAUAAUAUUAAAAGACGAGAAGACCCUAUAGAGUUUUAUAUAAUAUUAAUAAAUUUAAAUUAUUAUUUAUAAAAUUUUAUUUAUUAAUUUAUAUUUAGUUGGGGUGACAGAAAAAUUUAAUAAACUUUUUUUUAAAAUUUUACAUUUAUAUAUGAAUAAAUGAUCCAUAAAUUAUGAUUAUAAGAUUAAAUUACCUUAGGGAUAACAGCGUAAUUUUUUUUGAGAGUUCAAAUCGAAAAAAAAGAUUGCGACCUCGAUGUUGGAUUAAAGUUUAGUUUUGGUGUAGAAGCUAAAAUAUUAAGUCUGUUCGACUUUUAAAACUUUACAUGAUCUGAGU
rnacentral:rRNA from 1 species